rnacentral:lncRNA from 1 species
CCAAAAUCGAGGACCUGGCAGGGCUGUGUUUCCUUCUGGAAGCUCCAGAGGCGGGUGGCGGGGGGAGAUGUCUUGGCUUUUUCUGGGCCAGGGUGGAGCUCCACCACAGCAGCAACCCAGGCCUCUGCAGUGACACUGCCAGAUCCUUCACUUGCUCUUUUGCAGCUGCUGUGGAAGGCUUGCUUGCCGUGGCUCAGCGCCCCUUCCGUCUUCAGAGCCCCCAGUGGCCGGCCAGGUCUUUCUGACAUCACUCUGACUUUGGUUUCUCAGUCCCCCUCUAAGGACCCUCAUCCUUGUAUUGGGCCCACCUGAAUAAUCCAGGACAAUUGUCCUACUUUAAGAUCAGCUGAUAUAUCCACAAAUUCUGGACACUGGGAUGUGAACGUCUUUGGGACAGUAUUCUGCUUGUCACACUUGCCUUCUGGACUCCCAACUCCAGGGGCGGAAUGCUCGAGUGUGAAGCCAGCUCUACAGCUCUAGAGUUGGGUGGGGUGACCUGGGUCACAUUUCGAUCUCCCCUAGAUUGCUGGAAAUCAAGGACUUAAUAAACCUACCUCACACUGUAAAGACCGGAGUAAAAAUGUGUGUAUUUAAUUAGAUAGAUGACAGGUAGAUAGGUAGAUAGAUAGGUAGAUAGAUGGAUGGAUGGAUGGAUGGAUGGAUGGAUGGAUGGAGAGAUGGAGAGAUAGAGAGAUAGAGAGAUAUAGAAGAUCUCAGCUGUCAUUGUUGUGUACUUAUUGUGUUCAUUUUUAUUAGGAGCCAUAUGUCUUUGCCUGUAGUCACCAAGUUUCCCACUUUAUAGGCAAACACUCUUACCAGUUCUUUCAAAGAGGUUCUGUGCAUUUACAAACAUAUGCAAAUAUAUAAUUUAUUUGAACAGUGGUAGAUGACAACUCAUACUUUUCUAAAUAAUAAUUUAAUUCAUGUCAGAUUCCUCAUUCUGCUAAAUGGUUGUACAGUUUCUAUUUCAUGAAUGAACUUGGCUUAGCCAGACUUUUAUUGAUGAACAUUAUGAGUUCAGUUCUUUCAUAAUUACAAGCAGGGCGACACUAAUAUUCUUAUAAAUUAAUAAGUUUGCAGGGGCCCUCUGUAUCUGUUAUAUCAAUUCCAAGAAGUGAACCUUUUGAGUCAAAGGUUAGAAUUUGAUUAUGUAUUGCUAAAUUAUGUCUCUUGAGAUAUUUUAUCCAUUCUCAUAGCCAUCAAUGCUGUAUGUGUGCAUCCACACAUUCUCAGCUGGCUCGUGUCAUCAGCAGUUUAAUUUCUGUGGCUGUGAUAGUGAAAGCACUUUUGCAUAUAUUUCUUUAGCAUCUCUCGUGAGUGAAUCAAGUGUCUUUCAUAUAUUCCUUUGCAAUCAUAUUUGCUUUUCUUUUUUUUUUUUUUUUGUACAACAGGAACUCCCAUAUUCACUUUUCAAUUAAUCAUUAAUUUAUGUUCCUCAUCUAUGUUCCUUUUGAGUGGUUGAGUUUUUUCUUUAAUGAUUAAUUUGUAGGAGUUCAUUACACUUUAAAGAACUCUUUUCUGUGUAAUGAAUUACAAAUCUUUUUUUACUUUAUUUUUUAUUUUACCUUACAGAAAUAAUUUAUUUCUAUGUGACUGAAUUUAUAAAUUUGUUUUAUGAUGUCACAGUUUUGCAUACUUAGAAAGACAUUCCCUGGGAGUUCCCAUUGUGGGUCAGCAGUAAUGGACCCAACUAGUAUCCAUGAGGAUGCAGGUUCGAUUCUUAGCCUCACUCAAUGGGUUCAAGAUCUGGCAUUGCCGUAUGAUGUAGGUUGAGAUGCAUCUCGGAUCUGGCAUGGCUGUGGCUGUGGUGUAGGCCAGCAGCUGCAGCUCCAGUUCAAUCCCUAGCCUGGGAACCUCCAUGUGCCGUGGGUGCGGCCCUGAGAAGAAAGAAAGAAAAAGAAGGUAUUCCCCAUCUUAGAUUAUAUAAUUCCAUAUUUUGUCUAAUAACUACAUUAUUUUGUGUUUUUUAAACCCCUGGAACAUAUUUUAAUUUGAUGAGUUGAGUAGAUAAUGCAAUUUCAGUUUUUUCCCUGGAAGUUCCAGUUACCAUAACACCAUUUAUUGAAGAAUUGGUUUUCUUUCUACUGAGAAUCAAUACUGGUUUCAUCAUACACUAAACAAAUUUAUAUUUCUUUGUCUUUCCUUCCUAUUCUAUUCUUCUGUCUAUUCAUGCACCCUGCUACAGUCUUAAAAUAUAUUUAAAUAUCUGGUAGAUCGAUUUCUGUCUUAUUUACUCAUUUUUGAAGUUUUUUUUUUCUGGUUGAUUUUGUGUAUUUGCUUUAAAAUUAGAUUAUCUAUUGGGAAAAAAAUCUGUUUGGUAUUUCAUUAUUGUGUUCUGAAAUGUAUAGAUUAAUUCAAGAAUUGCUCUUCUUAGAAGAUUGUUUUUAUCUUAACAAAGAGUGUGUCAUUUCACCUAUUCAGAUCUCCUUUUGUAUAUCUGAGAGGCAUCUCAACUGUUGUUCAUAUGAUUUGUACACGUUAAUUACAUUUAUUCCUCUGUUCCUAUUGUGAAUAGGACCUUGGUUUCAAAAGGGUGGUUGUGGGAGUUCUCCUGCGGCACAGUAGAUUAAGCAUCCAACUGUAAUAGCUUCAUUUUUGCAAAGGUGCAUAUUUGAUCCCCAAGCCAGCUCAGUGGGUUAAAGGAUCUCAUGUUGCACCAGCUGUGGCUCAGAUUCAAUUCCUGGCCUGGGAACUUACAUAUGCUGUGAGUACAGCCAAAAAAAAAAAAAAAGCUGGUUGUUUACGUACUCCUAGGCAAAGGAUUUAUUUUAACCUGUAAUUUUUUUUUUUACCUGUUAUUUUUUUUUUACUUAGUCACCUCACAGAAUUAUCUUUGCCAUUCGUAAUAAUUUUUCAGUUGAUUCUCAUGAACUUUUCAGUUUUGCAAUUAUACUGUGUGAAAAUAAUGAUUUAUCUCUUCUUUUUUUAGUGCGCAUAGUUCUAAUUUUCUUUUUUUCAUCAAGUUGUAUGUUAUUGCAUUUGAUUUUAUCACUAUCUGUGAUUUGUUCCCCAUUUUCGUUUCUAAUUUUGUGAGUUUUGUUCUUUUCUUGGUUAGUUUAAUCAACCAUUUAUUAUUUUGGUAAUUAUUUUUUAUUUUUUUAAGAAUAUCUGAUUUGUAUUAUUUGCUUUUUUAUACAAUGAUUUUUAUUUUUUUCCUUUAUAGCUGGUUUACAGUGUUCUGUCAGUUUUCUACUGUGCAGCAUGGUGACCCAGUCACACACACAUGUAUACAUUCUUUUUUUCUCACAUUCUCAUGCUCCAUCAUAAGUGACCUGACAUAGUUCCCAGGGCUACACAGCAGGAUCUUAUUGCUAAUCCAUUCCAAAGGCAAUAGUCUGCAUCUGUUAACCCCAAGCUCCCAGUCCAUCCCACUUCCUCCCCUAAUUAUUUUAAAACUUUAGGUCUAUUUAAUAGUUGUAUAGUUGGCUUCCUCAUGCAUUGAUUCUUGCACUUAUUUUUUAAAAUGAAUUUCCACCUUUUGUUUUACUUGUAUAUAUUUUAUUGAUUUUUCUCUAAAUAUUUAAAUUGGAUACUUAUUUGUUUUCAUCCUUUCUUGUUACUUAAUAUGAGUGGGCAAGGCUGUAAACUUUCCUCCAAGUAUUGCUUUUGGCAUAUUACUAAGUUCCAAUAUGAACUGUACUCAUCAGCCUUAUUUUCUAGAUGUUCCCCAGUCUCUCUUAUGGUUUCUUUUGUGACUCAAGGGGAAAUUCCAUGUGGGAAAUCCUGUUGAAUUGUUACUAUUUUGUCUUUAAAAUAAUAAAU